AACGAACGCUGGCGGCAUGCCUAACACAUGCAAGUCGAACGAGACCUUCGGGUCUAGUGGCGCACGGGUGCGUAACGCGUGGGAACCUGCCCUUAGGUUCGGAAUAACUCCCCGAAAGGGGUGCUAAUACCGGAUAAUGUCUUCGGACCAAAGAUUUAUCGCCUUUGGAUGGGCCCGCGUUGGAUUAGCUAGUUGGGAGGGUAAAAGCCUACCAAGGCGACGAUCCAUAGCUGGUCUGAGAGGAUGAUCAGCCACACUGGGACUGAGACACGGCCCAGACUCAUACGGGAGGCAGCAGUGGGGAAUAUUGGACAAUGGGCGAAAGCCUGAUCCAGCAAUGCCGCGUGAGUGAUGAAGGCCUUAGGGUUGUAAAGCUCUUUUACCCGGGAUGAUAAUGACAGUACCGGGAGAAUAAGCUCCGGCUAACUCCGUG
rnacentral:rRNA from 1 species